GCGGGUGCUAUACAUGCAGUCGAGCGGACAGAUGGGAGCUUGCUCCCUGAUGUUAGCGGCGGACGGGUGAGUAACACGUGGGUAACCUGCCUGUAAGACUGGGAUAACUCCGGGAAACCGGGGCUAAUACCGGAUGGUUGUUUGAACCGCAUGGUUCAAACAUAAAAGGUGGCUUCGGCUACCACUUACAGAUGGACCCGCGGCGCAUUAGCUAGUUGGUGAGGUAACGGCUCACCAAGGCAACGAUGCGUAGCCGACCUGAGAGGGUGAUCGGCCACACUGGGACUGAGACACGGCCCAGACUCCUACGGGAGGCAGCAGUAGGGAAUCUUCCGCAAUGGACGAAAGUCUGACGGAGCAACGCCGCGUGAGUGAUGAAGGUUUUCGGAUCGUAAAGCUCUGUUGUUAGGGAAGAACAAGUACCGUUCGAAUAGGGCGGUACCUUGACGGUACCUAACCAGAAAGCCACGGCUAACUACGUGCCAGCAGCCGCGGUAAUACGUAGGUGGCAAGCGUUGUCCGGAAUUAUUGGGCGUAAAGGGCUCGCAGGCGGUUUCUUAAGUCUGAUGUGAAAGCCCCCGGCUCAACCGGGGAGGGUCAUUGGAAACUGGGGAACUUGAGUGCAGAAGAGGAGAGUGGAAUUCCACGUGUAGCGGUGAAAUGCGUAGAGAUGUGGAGGAACACCAGUGGCGAAGGCGACUCUCUGGUCUGUAACUGACGCUG
rnacentral:rRNA from 1 species